GCAGCCAGGGGUGCUGGUGCCGGAGGCGCUGGGGCUGGGCAACUGGGUGAAGGCGCAGGAGUGGGCGGCGCUCCCAGACGGGCAGGCGACGUACCUGGGCAACCCGGUGCCGUGGGGCAACCUGCCGACCAUCCUGGCGAUCGAGUUCCUGGCCAUCGCCUUCGCGGAGCAGCAGCGCACCAUGGAGAAGGACCCGGAGAAGAAGAAGUACCCCGGCGGCGCCUUCGACCCGCUCGGCUUCUCCAAGGACCCCGCCAAGUUCGAGGAGCUCAAGCUCAAGGAGAUCAAGAACGG
rnacentral:lncRNA from 1 species